GCAAAUUUGGUGUCAGUGGGACGAAAGCCUUAGGAGGAGUUAGCCACAUUCCAAUGUGUGCGAAUCGGCAAAAAAUGCAAAAUAGCCCUUUAACCGUACAUUUGACAGAUACACGCCCAUUGACUUUUUCGUAGAUCUUAUUGAGAUACACGUGAUUGUCAAAUUUUGUGUCAAUAUGACAAAGCGUAUAGGCGUGAAUCUCAACAAUAUGUAUUUUCACCUUAGGGGACAAGAAAAAAUGGACUUUUUUCUCCUGCCAUGGGGGGCGCUCUUUUGGGGAGUAAAAAUUCCUUCACAAAUGUGUUGAUGGCUGGACAUUGCAUCAUCCUAGAAAACCUGGAGGCCAGUGAGGACAAAAAUAAGAAGUUAUAAGACUUUUAAAUAUGUGGAUUUUAGGGUUAUCUUUGGCGCCCCCUAGAACCUAAACCGUGGGGUGCAGCGUCAUGAUUUGAAUAACUUUUAAUGGCCAUGGGGUGUAGAUUGGCCUGAGCAAAUGUGGUGCCAGUGGAACGAAAGCCUUAGGAGGAGUUAGCCACAUUCCAAUGUGUGCGGAUCGGCAAAAAAUGCGGAAUAACCCUUUAACCGUACAUUUGACAGAUAUGCGCGCAUUGACUUUUUCGUAGAUCUUAUUGAGAUACAUGUGUGUGUUAAUAUUUGUGUCAUUUUGCCAAAGCGUACAGGCGUGACACUAAACAAUGUGUAUUUUCACCUUAGGGGACAAGAAAAAAUAGACUUUUUUCUCCUGCCAUGGGGGGCGCUCUUUUGGGGAGUAAAAUUUCCUUCACAAAUGUGUUGAUGGCUGGACAUUGCAUUAUCCUAGAAAACUUGGAGGCCAGUGAGGACAAAAAUAAAAAGUUAUAAGACUUUUAAGAAUGUGGAUUUUUGGGUUAUCUUUGGCGCCCCCUAGAACCUUCACCGUGGGUUGCAGCGUCAUGAUUUGUACAACUUUUAAUGGCCAUGGGGUGUAGAUUGGCCUGAGAAAAUUUGGUGCCGGUGGAACGAAAGCCUUCGGAGGAGUUAGCGAAAUUCCAAUGUGUGCGGAUCGGCAAAAAAUGCAAAAUAGCCCUUUAACCGUACAUUAUACAGAUACGCGCUCUAUGACUUUUUUGUAGAUCUUAUUGAGAUACACGUGAUUGUCAAAUGUUUUGUCAAUAUGACAAAGCGUUUAGGCGUGACACUCAACAAUGUGUAUUUUCAUGUUAGGGGACAAGAAAAACUUGACUUUUUUCUCCUGCCAUGGGGGGGCGCUCUUUUGGGGAGUAAAAAUUCCUUCACAAAUGUGUUGAUGGCUUGACAUGGCAUCAUCCUAGAAAACUUGGAGGCCAGUGAGGACAAAAAUAAAAAGUUAUAAGACUUUUAAGAAUGUGGAUUUUUGGGUUAUCUUUGGCGCCCCCUAGAACGUAAACCGUGGGGUGCAGCAUCAUGAUUUGUACAACUUUUAAUGGCCAUGGGGUGUAGAUUGGCCUGAGCAAAUGUGGUGCCGGUGGAACGAAAGCCUUCGGAGGAGUUAGCGAAAUUCCAAUGUGUGCGGAUCGGCAAAAAAUGCGAAAUAGCCCUUUAACGGUACAUUUGACAGAUACGCCCGCACUGACUUUUUUGUAGAUCUUAUUGAGAUACACAUGUGUGUCAAAUUUUGUGUCAUUUUGACAAAGUGCACAGGCGUGACAGGUGAGUUUUCACCAUAGGGGGCGCUAUGCAGCCAUUUUUCAUUUUUUUGUUUGGGCGACUUCAGAAUAUCAAAUUUUUCACCAGGCCCGGUCGUCCUGCCAAAUUUCCUGAGUUUUCGCCAGUGGGAAGUGGGCCAUUUUCCAGUUUAAAGCGGAGGAAAAAUAAUAACUAGGGCCCCGUUGGGGCACUGGCGGGCCCGAGCCGCGUCGCCGCGCCGCCCCCAGCGCGACCGCCUCCCUGAUCCAUUAGGUUUAAAUAGAAAAAGCAUUAAAAUAUGUUAGGAUUAUAGCAUAUGACAAAUGUGUGCCUCUCAGUGGCCAUAACUACUUUGUCUGCUGGCUCUGCAGUCGAUUGACGCUCCCCAGCGUUCAAGUCACAUGACAAAUUUAACCGGAUGUAGCUGCAAGACGGAGCCUCGUUGACUCUCCGUUUCAACUUAUCUCCAAAGUGAGGACCUUAAACUAUAUACCAGUUUUUAAAUUGUGUUGAUAGGCCAAAUAAAACCAGAGUUAUGAUAAAUUAUGUCUGCGAUACUUUUUUUCUGCUUAUUUUGAUCACGUUCGGCGCUCGAUCGCGCUGUAUGAGACAGGAAAACAUAGCAUGCAGACAUUAGCGACAGCUCUUACAGGCGGAAAAGGCUUGCCAAAAGAAAAAAAAAAACACACCACAACAUCUCUCCUAUUGGUGGAAAACUUCACCACAACAACCAAUCCAAAAUUAUAUGGUGACUGAUUGACAAGGGGCGGGCGCUUACGUUCUUCCUGCAACAUGAGAAGGGAUGGAGGGACUCUCAGCAGGGAUGCAGUCUGGGACACGUAGUUGCAAACCUAGCGACUUUGUUGUUAGAUUCAAUGACUUUUCAGACCCCCUAACGACUUUUUUUUUGAAAGAAAGGGACUUUUAUCGACUUCUUCUGGAGAUUAGAGACUCUGACAUGAAGCAGGCUUUUCCUUACUGAGGAGUUAGCAACGCUGCUAAGGGUGCAGAGCCACACAUGCGCUCUGAGCUCUGCAUGGGAGACUGAAGCUGACAGAGCUGCAGCAGUUAGCAGGUUUCACCCUCAGAGACCACCAGGGGUUCAUGUUGAGGCAUUUUCAGUUUGUUUUAUUGUUUUUUUGCCAUAGACACUGUCAGCACAAUCUGCAGUUACACUAACAAAAAUGCUGGACAAAACAAAGAAUUAUGGAAAAAUUACACAUGGACUAACAUAGAGGAGGAUCUACACAAGUUUUUUACAUCAUGUUUUACAUCAUGCAUCAUUUACAUCAUGUUUUUUUUGUAGUGGCAUAAAUAAAAAGUGACAUUUGUGAGACUAUACAGUGUUUUGUAAAUAAUUUUACAAAGAACGCCUGGGCCAUUGCCUGCAUUUUGAUGUAAAUAGAGGUAAAUUACUAUGUUCUUUGUUAAAAAUUUGCAUAUGUUUUGAAGUUUAAAAUUUUUAUUUGAUGUUUAAGUUUUAAAAACAGUUCAUCACACAUAUUUGUGGUUUUCAGAGUAAAAAUGUUACUUUUUUCCACUCGGAUAUUAUGUUUUGUGUGUGAAUUUGGGUCCAUUGUGUAAAAACAGUAUGUGAAAAUGAUAAAAUAACUGUAAAGUCACACAGGUGAGGUUGUGCUGAAAAAAAUGAUACCAGGCAAGGCAAGGUAAAAAUUUUUUAAGAGGAAAUAUAAAGGUAAAAUCUAAAGUAGUCAAAAACGGCCAAUAGUGACUCCCAGUCUCCAUAGACAAGUCCCUUUGGCGCCACUCAGUGGGCAAAACUACUUUGUCUGCUGUAAUGUAUAUUUGGGUCAUCUUUGGCACCCCCUAGAACGUAAACCGUGGGGUGCAGCGUCAUGAUUUUUACAACUUUGAAUGGCCAUGGGUUGUAGAUUGGCCUGAGCAAAUUUGGUGUCAUUGGGACGAAAGCCUUAGGAGGAGUUAGCCACAUUCCAAUGUGUGCAAAUCGGCAAAAAAUGCAAAAUAGCCCUUUUACCGUACAUUAUACACAUACGCGCUCUUUGACUUUUUCGUAGAUCUUAUUGAGAUACACGUGAUUGUCAAAUUUUGUGUCAAUAUGACAAAGCGUUCAGGCAUGACACUCAACAAUGUGUGUUUUCACCUUAGGGGACAAGAAAAAAUGGACUUUUUUCUCCUGCCAUGGGGGGGCGCUCUUUUGGGGAGUAAAAAUUCCUUCACAAAUGUGUUGAUGGCUGGACAUUGCAUCAUCCUAGAAAACUUGGAGGCCAGUGAGGACAAAAAUAAAAAGUUAUAAGACUUUUAAGAAUGUGGAUUUUGGGUUAUCUUUGGCGCCCCCUAGAACCUAAACCGUGGGGUGCAGCGCAUGAUUUGUACAACUUUUAAUGGCCAUGGGGUGUAGAUUGACCUGAGCAAAUUUGGUGUCAUUGGGACGAAAGCCUUAGGAGGAGUUAGCCACAUUCCAAUGUGUGCGGAUCGGCAAAAAUGCGAAAUAGCCCUUUAACCGUACAUUAUACAGAUACGCGCUCUUUGACUUUUUCGUAGAUCUUAUUGAGAUACACGUGAUUGUCAAAUUUUGUGUCAAUAUGACAAAGCGUUCAGGCGUGACACUCUACAAUGUGUAUUUUCAUGUUAGGGGACAAGAAAAAAUGGACUUUUUUCACCUGCCAUGGGGGGGCGCUCUUUUGGGGAGUAAAAAUUCCUUCACAAAUGUGUUGAUGGAUGGACAUUGCAUCAUCUUAGAAAACUUGGGGGCCAGUGAGGACAAAAAUAAAAAGUUAUAAGACUUUUAAAAAUGUGGAUUUUUGGGUUAUCUUUGGCGCCCCCUAGAACGUAAACCGUGGGGUGCAGCGUCAUGAUUUGUACAACUUUAGAUGGCCAUGGGGUGUAGAUUGGCCUGAGCAAAUUUGGUGCCAGUGGAACGAAAGCCUUCGGAGGAGUUAGCGAAAUUCCAAUGUGUGCGGAUCGGCAAAAAAUGCGAAAUAGCCCUUUAACGGUACAUUUGACAGAUACGCCCGCACUGACUUUUUUGUAGGUCUUAUUGAGAUACACAUGUGUGUCAAAUUUUGUGUCAUUUUGACAAAGCGUACAGGCGUCAGGUGAAUUUUCACCAUAGGGGGCGCUAUGGAGCCAUUUUUCAUUUUUUGUUUGGGCGACUUCAGAAUAUCGAAUUUUUCACCAGGCCCGGUCUUCCUGCCAAAUUUCCUGAGUUUUCACCAGUGGGAAGUGGGCCAUUUUCCAGUUUAAAGCGGAGGAAAAAUAAUAACGAAAGAAGGAAACAUGCAGGAACAAGAGGGCUCUCGCAGCUGCUUAGCAGCUACGCUCGGGCCCUAACUAGGGCCCCGUUGGGGCACUGGCGGGCCCGAGCCGCGUUGCGCCGCCCCCAGUGCGACCGCCUCCCCCUCCCGAUCGCGUCACACUCAAGGUCCAAAGAUGGUGUGCGCACUUGUCUGUGGUCAUUUCCCAUUAUAAUGAAUGGGAGGCGCAGUUUCUACCAAAACACUCGCUGCAGACAAACUACAUGUCCUAUUUGAAAAAAGUCUGGACCAUGAGUGAGGCCACAAACACAGCUAGGAUAUAUCCAAACGGCAAGUUGCUCCUUGUUACGGUGUUGCCGGGAGAGCGAUGCGAUUGAGCCAUUGAGUGAUGGGCAGGAAAAACUUGACUGUUUCUCCUGCCAUGGGGGAUGGGGGAUGGGGGGGGGAUGUGGAUUCUUUUAAGAAUGUGGAUAUUUGGGUCAUCUUUGGCGCCCCCUAGAACGUGAGCCGUGGGGUGCAGCGUCAUGAUUUUUACAACUUUGAAUGGCCAUGGGGUGUAGAUUGGCCUGAGCAAAUUUGGUGUCAGUGGGACGA